rnacentral:rRNA from 1 species
CCUACGGGAGGCAGCAGUGAGGAAUAUUGGUCAAUGGACGCAAGUCUGAACCAGCCAUGCCGCGUGCAGGAAGACGGCUCUAUGAGUUGUAAACUGCGUUUGUACGAGGGUAAACGCAGAUACGCGUAUCUGUCUGAAAGUAUCGUACGUAUACGGAUCGGCUAACUCAGUGCCAGCAGCCGCGGUAAUACGGAGGAUUCCAGCGUUAUCCGGAUUUAUUGGGUUUAAAGGGUGCGUAGGCGGUUGGAUAAGUUAGAGGUGAAAUCCCGAGGCUCAACUUCGGAAUUGCCUCUGAUACUGUUCGGCUAGAGAGUAGGAGGGGUAGGCGGAAUGUAUGGUGUAGCGGUGAAAU